UACGAACCGUCCUAACGUUGUUCGGAAUCACUGGGCUUAAAGGGCGCGUAGGCGGUUGUUUAAGUCUGCCGUGAAAUCCCCGGGCUCAACCUGGGAAUGGCGAUGGAUACUGGCGAGCUAGAGUGUGUCAGAGGAUGGUGGAAUUCCCGGUGUAGCGGUGAAAUGCGUAGAGAUCGGGAGGAACAUCAGUGGCGAAGGCGGCCAUCUGGGACAACACUGACGCUGAAGCACGAAAGCGUGGGGAGCAAACAGG
rnacentral:rRNA from 1 species